GCGGCAGACAAAUGGCGGAGCCAGAAUCAGAAUCCAGGUCCUUCCGACUCCCUCUAUCCACUAGGCCACGAUGAGGUGCAAUCUGGGAAGACGGGUGAAAAAGGCUCCAGCUGCUAAUGAGGGUUUGCCCCGAUGAGACCUGGUUCAGAGGCCUGCAAGUGGAGCUACAGCAGCGGAGAAGAGUUUGCCUUUAACUGGAUACUUGGAGGGGUAGAAGAAGCUCCAAGAGGAGUCAGCUCCCUAUCUCAACCCCCUUCUCUAGGUUGACUGUUCUAGAGCUGCCCGACUAGAGACACAAUCAGAGACACAGUCACUUGCUCCCUUUGCUCUCCCCCACCUCUUAUGUAUGUAUCUGUAAUUUUAUUUAUUCAUAUUGGUGUUUAUUUGUAUUGACGUCUCUCCCCCAACACACACACACACCCCAAACUGUGUGCUUGUUAUCGGGAGAGAUUGUCUCCAUUGCUGCAUCGUAGUUUCCCAAGGGCAUAGUACAUUUUCCUCUCCUCCUCCCCGCCCUCACCUCCUUCCCCUCCC